rnacentral:rRNA from 1 species
AACGAACGCUGGCGGCAGGCCUAAAACAUGCAAGUCGAGCGGGCAUAGCAAGUAUGUCAGCGGCGGACGGGUGAAUAACACGUGGGAACAUGCCCUUUGGUACGGAACAACUCAGGGAAACUUGAGCUAAUACCGUAUGUGCCGGUAACGGGAAAGAUUUAUCGCCAAAGGAUUUGGGCCCGCGUCCGAUUAGCUAGUUGGUGAGGUAACGGCUCACCAAGGCGACGAUCGGUAGCUGGUUUGAGAGAACGAUCAGCCACACUGGGACUGAGCACGGCCCAGACUCCUACGGGAGGCAGCAGUUGGGAAUCUU